CCUCUGGUAGUGUAUCGGUUAGUACACGCACCUGUCAGGUUCGCCGUACGCGCGAAAGUUGGGUUCGACUCCCAGCCAGAGAG